rnacentral:rRNA from 1 species
CGUUGACGCUCUGGUCAACAUAUUUCAUGCUGCGGACGAAGACUUCCUUUGGUACCUUGAAGAUUUUCUUUUGACGCAUUCAUUUCCUAUUCCACCAUCACACAACGUACCAUUUGGCGUCUUCAAACGCCUGUCAGUCACAUUGCCCGAAGUCCCACAAACAUCCGAACUCACGAACCGCAGAGACACAAUCUGGACAACCUUUCCUGUACCUUCGCAGGGUCGAAACAAGGCUGUACCAGCUCGAUUCGACACCGUCCUAGCAUUUGAAAAAGCUGGCUUUACAGCCUUUUCGGAUCCUUUAGAUCCUCUCAAAGGUGUGUAUUAGUAAAUUUCUUAUCGACAUACAACGGCUGAUUGACACUUAAAAAAAGGUCUUUCCGUUGCACAGGUUCAUGUAAUCUUCCAGUUACCAGCUGAAUAUGGUCGUUUUGACAUCCCACUGGCUUACGUUCAGUGGUAUACACCACUGCAAUCAUAUAUUCCCUCUCUUGGAAUGUACCAAGUUACCCGCUCAUUUCGAAAUCGAUCUCGACACGCGUCCAUUAUACCUGUGAACCAAAUUAUUCGAAGUUGUCACCUCAUUCCGAAAUUUGGCACCAAAAUUGGGCAUACAUGGAACCCUGAAAGUGCUUUGGACUCUGUAGAGACUUAUUACUUGAAUCCCGACCUUCGAUUACACGACUUCAUAAUAUUUAGAUACAUGGAUCCAAUGUCAUCUCAGACUUAACUUGCAUGCACGAAAUUAUGAAUUAAUUUCUCUCACUUCUAUAUUUAAGUCUCGUUCUCCGUCAAAUCUGAGUUCUUGAGUACUUAGAUAAAGUAGACUCACGGCACUCGCCAGUAUUGUUCUGUCUUCUUGCUUUAUCUCUGCGGUUUCUCUGUAGUAAUCUAUACAAAUGUAAUCAUUAAAUAAAUGCAUUAUUUCCUGUAGAGCUAUAUAGAUAUGAUAUUAUAUAUAAAUAUAAAAAAUUACAUAGAAGCAUCGUUUUUCAUAGGGCAAGGUAAAUGCGUGAAGGUUAAGUAAGCACAACAGUCUCUACUGGGUUUACAGGGCCUACGGAGACACAUAACAUUUACAUAAUAUAUGUCAUUCUAUGGUUGGAAUAUUUUUUGCUGAUGCCAGACAAUCCAAUUUCAGGGGGUUAAGCGGUCAAGGAGAAAAGAAAACUCUUCCUGGGGCCCUCGCCAGCAUCUCCAAGUUCAUUUGCAUUGCUACCAAAGAUCCACAUCCUGGUUCCAGAAUUUUAACUGGAUUCCCUUUCAAUAGGCGACAUGAAAAAUCACAUGCUUUGAAACGGAGCUUCCCUAUCUCUUAGGAUCGACUGACCCAUGUCCAACUGCUGUUACCAUGGAACCUUUCUCCACUUCAGUCUUCAAGGCUCUCACUUGAAUAUUUGCUACUACCACCAAGAUCUGCACUAGAGGCUGUUUCACCUAGCAUUGCUACCGAGGCUUCUUCACGGACCUCCAUGCCUGCCUACUCGUCAGCACGUCACUUCAACGCCAACGGCGAGGUGUAGGCAGGUGUGGAGGUUCGUGAAGAAGCCUCGGCAGCAAUGUUGGGUGAAACAGCCUCUAGUGCAGAUCUUGGUGGUAGUAGCAAAUAUUCAAGUGAGAGCCUUGAAGACUGAAGUGGAGAAAGGUUCCAUGGUAACAGUAGUUGGACAUGGGUCAGUUGAUCCUAAGAGAUAGGGAAGCUCCGUUUCAAAGCACGUGAUUUUUCGUGUCGCCUAUUGAAAGGGAAUCCAGUUAAAAUUCUGGAACCAGGAUGUGGAUCUUUGGCAGCAAUGCAAAUGAACUUGGAGAUGCUGGCGAGAGCCCCAGGAAGAGUUUUCUUUUCUCCUUAACCACUUAACCCCCUGAAAUUGGAUUGUCUGGAGCUAGGGGUCAAUGGUGGGUAGAGCUUGACACCUCUGUCGGAUCCAGUGCAUUCUCGACAGCCCUUGAAAAUCCAAGGGAAUGAAUAACUUUCACACCUGGUCGUACUCAUAACCACAGCAGGUCUCCAAGGUGAACAGCCUCUAGUUGAUAGAACAAUGUAGAUAAGGGAAGUCGUUAAAAUAGAUCUGUAACUUCGGGAAAAGGAUUGGCUCUAAGGGUUGGGUGCAUCAGGCCUUGGCCAGAAGCCUUGGGACUAGGCUGGAACUGUUUGGGGGUGACUCUGGACGGAUUCGGCUUGGACCUGGGCGUGGAUGGCCUUGGCUGCCUUCGGGUGUCCAGUGUACACUUAACAACCAACUUAGAACUGGUACGGACAAGGAGAAUCUGACUGUCUAAUUAAAACAUAGCAUUGUGAUGGCCAGAAAGUGGUGUUGACACAAUGUGAUUUCUGCCCAGUGCUCUAAAUGUCAAAGUGAAGAAAUUCAACCAAGCGCAGGUAAACGGUGGGAGUAACUAUGACUCUCUUAAGGUAGCCAAAUGCCUCAUCAUCUAAUUAGUGAUGCGCAUGAAUGGAUUAACAAGAUUCCCACUGUCCCUAUCUACUAUCUAGCAAAACCACAGCCAAGGGAACGGGCUUGGCGGAAUCAGCAGGGAAAGAAGACCCUGUUGAGCUUGACUCUAGUUUGACAUUGUGAAAAGA